rnacentral:rRNA from 1 species
UACGUAGGGUGCAAGCGUUGUCCGGAAUUAUUGGGCGUAAAGAGCUCGUAGGCGGUUUGUUGCGUCGGCUGUGAAAUCCCGAGGCUCAACCUCGGGUCUGCAGUCGAUACGAGCAAACUAGAGUGUUGCAGGGGAGACUGGAAUUCCUGGUGUAGCGGUGAAAUGCGCAGAUAUCUGGAGGAACACCGGUGGCGAAGGCGGCGUUCUGGACUGCAACUGACACUGAUGAACGAAAGCCAGGGGAGCAAACGGG